UGGAAAAAAUGGGAGCCCUGGAGUGGAACAAGGUGGUGCAUGAGCAUCAAGGAUGGAGACUUAUCACUUGUAUGUGGUUGCAUGCUGGAGUUAUACAUCUGCUAGCAAAUAUGCUCAGCUUGAUCUUUAUUGGGAUUCGCCUUGAACAGCAAUUUGGAUUUGUGCGAGUUGGGAUAGUCUAUCUAUUAUCCGGAUUGGGGGGAAGUAUAUUGUCUUCACUCUUUAUUCAGCAAAAUAUUUCUGUCGGUGCCUCUGGUGCUUUGUUUGGCCUUCUGGGAGCAAUGUUAUCAGAGCUUCUUACUAACUGGACUAUCUAU
rnacentral:misc_RNA from 1 species